rnacentral:rRNA from 1 species
GACGAACGCUGGCGGCGUGCUUAACACAUGCAAGUCGAACGGAAAGGCCCUGCUUUUGUGGGGUGCUCGAGUGGCGAACGGGUGAGUAACACGUGAGUAACCUGCCCUUGACUUUGGGAUAACUUCAGGAAACUGGGGCUAAUACCGGAUAGGAGCUCCUGCUGCAUGGUGGGGGUUGGAAAGUUUCGGCGGUUGGGGAUGGACUCGCGGCUUAUCAGCUUGUUGGUGGGGUAGUGGCUUACCAAGGCUUUGACGGGUAGCCGGCCUGAGAGGGUGACCGGCCACAUUGGGUCUGAGAUACGGCCCAGACUCCUACGGGAGGGAGGAGGGGGGAAUAUUGCACAAUGGGCGGAAGCCUGAUGCAGCAACGCCGCGUGCGGGAUGACGGCCUUCGGGUUGUAAACCGCUUUCGCCUGUGACGAAGCGUGAGUGACGGUAAUGGGUAAAGAAGCACGGGCUAACUACGU